rnacentral:rRNA from 1 species
GUGGGGAAUAUUGGGCAAUGGGCGCAAGCCUGACCCAGCAACGCCGCGUGAGGGAAGAAGGCUUUCGGGUUGUAAACCUCUGUCCUUGGUGACGAAAAAAAUGACGGUAGCCAAGGAGGAAGCCCCGGCUAACUACGUGCCAGCAGCCGCGGUAAUACGUAGGGGGCGAGCGUUGUCCGGAAUUACUGGGCGUAAAGGGUGCGUAGGUGGCCUUUUAAGUUGGAUGUGAAAUACCCGGGCUUAACUUGGGGGGUGCAUCCAAAACUGGGAGGCUAGAGUGCAGGAGAGGAAAGCGGAAUUCCUAGUGUAGCGGUGAAAUGCGUAGAUAUUAGGAGGAACACCAGUGGCGAAGGCGGCUUUCUGGACUGUAACUGACACUGAGGCACGAAAGCGUGGGGAGCAAACAGGAUUAGAAACCCUAGUAGUCC